AAGACCUUGCACUUUUGGAACGGCCGAUGUCUGAUUAGCUAGUUGGUGGGGUAAUGGCCUACCAAAGCUUCGAUCAGUAGCUGGUCUGAGAGGACGGCCAGCCACACUGGGACUGAGACACGGCCCAGACUCCUACGGGAGGCAGCAGUGGGGAAUUUUGGACAAUGGGCGCAAGCCUGAUCCAGCCAUGCCGCGUGAGUGAAGAAGGCCUUCGGGUUGUAAAGCUCUUUCAGUCGGGAAGAAAAGGUUGCGACUAAUAAUCGCGAUUCAUGACGGUACCGGAAGAAGAAGCACCGGCUAACUACGUGCCAGCAGCCGCGGUAAUACGUAGGGUGCGAGCGUUAAUCGGAAUUACUGGGCGUAAAGGGUGCGCAGGCGGUUUUGUAAGUCAGAUGUGAAAUCCCCGGGCUUAACCUGGGAACU
rnacentral:rRNA from 1 species